rnacentral:lncRNA from 10 species
UAGCAACUCCCAAAACACACAUGGCCCCAGAGAAUAAGAGGACCACAGCUGAGUUGCUUUUCAGACAUCAGACAGCUGUCCUUGUGGAUGAAAGAAACUCCUUUCCAACUUUGAAGAAAAUGUCCAGGGAUCGGGGAGCAGGCAUGUGAUAUUCUUCAAGGCACUUAAGUCUCUGCACCUACAGUCUUAGACAUAUUUGGAAACUUCUCUUAAGCAUGUUGAUCCAUCCAGGGCUGAAUUAUCUGUGAUCAAAAGAAUUACUCCACCCUGGGGCAUAUCCAACAAGAUGAAAGAUUCAGAAAUAAAUUACAUUGUGCUCCAUUCUUCCUGGCUCUCAACAUCUUCCCGCAUAAGAAAUCAGUUUCCUGAGAGUCUCCAGGCUCCAAAAGGCCAUCCUAAGGGAUGAAGGCAAAGUCUCAUGGGUCCAGCCACCCACCACAGACAUCUCUAGGAUGACUUUGGGGACCUGAUUGUUCCUGUGGCAAUGAUGCAUGUGGCCUGGGAGUUUUGGGAAAGGUAGGUUCAUGAGCUAUUUAUGUGUAGUUAAGUGUUUGGUCUUUCUGAGCAUCAGCUGGCAAGGCCAUGUCCUCAUCCCACUGCCUCUGAGAGUCACUGCUUAGCUGUGUCUAAGCAAUGAGGGGAAGAGGGGGUGAUAUUGUAUCUAACUUUGAGAGUAAUCAUUACUGUGUCAGUGUGCAAAUGACAAGUUCCAGUGGGUAGUGUAGAAGGUUUUCUAGUUAUUUUGUCUAUUAUAGGCAUGGUCCAAUACUUCCUCUUCCUCUUUCUUUUAAUAAAGGACUGCAAGAGAAAAGGAUGUACUGUUAUGCUUUAUAAUUCAGGCAGACAAUACAGGUAUUGGCUAACUUGAUUUGCCAUGAUCAGCUGCCUU